rnacentral:rRNA from 1 species
GACGAACGCUGGCGGCGUGCUUAACACAUGCAAGUCGAGCGGUAAGGCCCUUUCGGGGGUACACGAGCGGCGAACGGGUGAGUAACACGUGGGUGACCUGCCCUCAGCUCUGGGAUAAGCCUGGGAAACCGGGUCUAAUACCGGAUAUGACUCCAUGACGCAUGUUGUGGGGUGGAAAGCCUUGUGCGGCUGAGGAUGGGCCCGCGGCCUAUCAGCUUGUUGGUGGGGGAUGGCCUACCAAGGCGACGACGGGUAGCCGGCCUGAGAGGGCGACCGGCCACACUGGGACUGAGACACGGCCCAGACUCCUACGGGAGGCAGCAGUGGGGAAUCUUGCGCAAUGGGCGAAAGCCUGACGCAGCGACGCCGCAUGAGGGAUGACGG